GGGGGCGUCAUGGUUUCGACGUGGUCGUCUACAGGGAUUGGUUGCGAGCCGAGGAUGUCGGUUGGCCUCGUUAAAAAACCCGGCAGUAUGAACUGCGAAGUCUGAUACUGACAUCG
rnacentral:tmRNA from 1 species